AACGAACGCUGGCGGCAGGCUUAACACAUGCAAGUCGAACGGGCCCUUCGGGGUCAGUGGCAGACGGGUGAGUAACGCGUGGGAACGUGCCCUUCAGUUCGGAAUAACCCAGGGAAACUUGGGCUAAUACCGGAUACGCCCGAAAGGGGAAAGAUUGAUCGCUGAAGGAUCGGCCCGCGUCUGAUUAGCUGGUUGGUGAGGUAAUGGCUCACCAAGGCGACGAUCAGUAGCUGGUCUGAAAGGAUGAUCAGCCACAUUGGGACUGAGACACGGCCCAAACUCCUACGGGAGGCAGCAGUGGGGAAUAUUGGACAAUGGGCGCAAGCCUGAUCCAGCCAUGCCGCGUGAGUGAUGACGGCCUUAGGGUUGUAAAGCUCUUUCGGCGGGGACGAUAAUGACGGUACCCGCAGAAGAAGCCCCGGCUAACUUCGUGCCAGCCGCCGCAGUAACAC
rnacentral:rRNA from 1 species